GCACCGAUAGCUCAAUUGGAUAGAGUACCCGGCUNNGGUUACAGGUUCGAGUCCUGUUCGGUGCG
rnacentral:tRNA from 1 species